AUGAUUCGUGGGACGUCCUGCCGGUGGUGGCGAGUCGAAGGCGUGCUCCCGUUGUGGUUUCCACUUCGGUUCUUGCGCGCCCGAGGCGGACCCCGAUGAAAUCCUACCGCGGUGCUCUUCGCCGAGUGUCGAGGUGGGCCGGCACGUUUACUUUGAACAAAUUAGAGUGCUUAAAGCAGGCCUGUUGCGCCUGAAUACUGUGUGCAUGGAAUAAUGGAAUAGGACCUCGGUUCUAUUUUGUUGGUUUUCGGAACCCGAGGUAAUGAUUAAUAGGGACAGGCGGGGGCAUUCGUAUUGCGACGUUAGAGGUGAAAUUCUUGGAUCGUCGCAAGACGGACCGAAGCGAAAGCAUUUGCCAAGUAUGUUUUCAUUAAUCAAGAACGAAAGUUAGAGGUUCGAAGGCGAUCAGAUACCGCCCUAGUUCUAACCAUAAACGAUGCCAGCUAGCGAUCCGCCGAAGUUCCUCCGAUGACUCGGCGGGCAGCUCCCGGGAAACCAAAGCUUUUGGGUUCCGGGGGAAGUAUGGUUGCAAGCUGAAACUUAAGGAAUUGACGGAAGG
rnacentral:rRNA from 1 species